UACAGAGGGGGCAAGCGUUAUUCGGAAUUAUUGGCGUAAAGGGCGCGUAGGCGGCUUUGCAAGUGGCGGGUGAAAUCCCUCGGCUUAACCGAGGAACUGCCUGCCAGACUGUGAGGCUUGAGACCGGGAGAGGUGAGUGGAAUUCCCAGUGUAGCGGUGAAAUGCGUAGAUAUUGGGAGGAACACCAGUGGCGAAGGCGGCUCACUGGACCGGAACUGACGCUGAGGCGCGAAAGCGUGGGGAGCAAACAGG
rnacentral:rRNA from 1 species